AUUAUAGUGGCAGACUAGUGCAAUAGAUUUAAAAUCUAUAUAUGAGAGAACUCUCCUUUAAUU
rnacentral:tRNA from 1 species